rnacentral:rRNA from 1 species
GAUGAACGCUGGCGGCGUGCCUAAUACAUGCAAGUCGAGCGAACAGACGAGGAGCUUGCUCCUCUGACGUUAGCGGCGGACGGGUGAGUAACACGUGUAUAACCUACCUAUAAGACUGGGAUAACUUCGGGAAACCGGAGCUAAUACCGGAUAAUAUAUUGAACCGCAUGGUUCAAUAGUGAAAGACGGUUUUGCUGUCACUUAUAGAUGGAUCCGCGCCGCAUUAGCUAGUUGGUAAGGUAACGGCUUACCAAGGCGACGAUGCGUAGCCGACCUGAGAGGGUGAUCGGCCACACUGGAACUGAGACACGGUCCAGACUCCUGCGGGAGGCAGCAGUAGGGAAUCUUCCGCAAUGGGCGAAAGCCUGACGGAGCAACGCCGCGUGAGUGAUGAAGAUCUUCGGAUCGUAAAACUCUGUUAUUAGGGAAGAACAAAUGUGUAAGUAACUAUGCACGUCUUGACGGUACCUAAUAAGAAAGCCACGGCUAACUACGUG